UUUGCAUAUUCAAUUAGUGUAAUAUAGAGUUUUGAGAUAAACUAUUGUUGUUUCUUUUGAGUUUAGAUCUUUGCAUUAGACUUAUAAUUUUUUUUUAAUUUUUGAUGGCAAGCCCUUAUUAUAUCUGACUUUUUCAUGGGUAAAAUCUAGAGUAAUAGUUGACUCUCAAGUUUAGUCCGCAUCAAAUGUGAUAGGAGAAUCUGUUAAGUUGAAUUAUACGGGUAGAUAUCUAAUCUAGCUUUAUCUGUUGAAAAGAAAAUUAUACGGGUAGAUGAAGCUGCUGCUAAUUUUGGUUUAAGCAUUUUCAGUCACAUUGUUCUAGGUCUAUCAAGUCAUAUAGCUAGGUUGUGAUGCCUUGUGCCUCCUCUUUUUGUGUUGCGAAAAGGAUAACUGAUAUUAUUAUAUGUGAUAAUUCUCCCUUAGUUUCAGAUCCUUUCCCUAUUAGUAAUAUGGAGGUUUCUCCUUGGUAGUAGGAGGUGAUUGAAGCAACCAUUAAGGUCUACCUUUCUAUGUGUCCAUUAGCCUUUAGGUUCCAUGACAUUCUCAUCUCUUUUUAAAAUGCAUCUGUUUGUUACUAAGCACUGAUCAGGUAUUCUAAACAUUCUCAUUUCUGCCAUUUAAAUUUAGCAUCGUUCCCUAAUUAAGAUCCCAUUCCUAUUGUCAUCAGUGAAUAGCUGCAAAUUUUCUAUAUCAUGUUGGAGUUGCAAAAUAGAGGUUCCAUGUCAAAUACUGUAUGUUUUGUACUAUGCACACUUUUAUGACUAGAAAUGUUUAAUUGUUUUUGGUUGGGUUUAUUGGGUUUCAGUUUUGAAUAAGUAUUUUCAUGUUCAAUUGAUUGGCUGUUUUGAACAUUAAACCAUUUUUGAGGGAGUAGUGGUGUCACAUAAGGUUGCUCAUUCUUGACCUGGAUGAUCAGUGUUUGCGAGUCAUGAAAUUGCCUCUGUUGUAUAUAGUGACCCUCCCCAAACCUUGUAUUCAAAUGUGGCUCAUUCAUUGUGUUGUCAUAUCUUAGACCUCUAGCCAUUGGUAAUUUUAUGUUUUGUCUUAGGUGCUGGAUAAGUAAGAUUCUGCAAGAAACAAGGCAACUGAUGAAGCUUUUAAGAACCUGGUGUUAACAAAGGUGUAAGAAACUGAAGAGGGUGCAUGACCUUGUCUAGAAGAUUUUGGAGCUCGCUAGUAAAGAUUGACUAGAUUGAUCUUAUAUAUGCUUGGAUUUCAUCAUGAGAGGAAGAAGAAGGAUGCAUUGGUGACAUUUGAUGAGGAGGAAUCAACUGGAAUCAUGAAGUUUAGUUAACCUUUACAGUUUACAUGCCAUCUUUCACGUCUACUCAUUUAUUGAUCUCAUGAUCACAGCAGAUCUUAUAUAUGCUUGGAUUUCAUCAUGAGAAGAAGAAGAAGGAUGUCUACAUGAGCAAGCAGGCUGUGCUGAUUCCUUUUGUCAUGAUGAAGGCAUCAUGUACACAGGAAAACCCAGGUUGAGUUGGACUUCUUGGUUUAAGGCAUGCAUUUAUAUUUGACUCUUUCCAUCUGCCUCCUUUGUUCCUGCACAAUGGUUUCUUGUUGCACAGAGUUGGUUCUCUGGAAAUUGUGUGUCAUAACUGCUGAUAGAUCUAACGAUUAUGAAAUCCAACUUCACUUUCUGUUACUUAUCUUUUCCUCAUGUAAUAUAGCUCUUAAUUCUAUGAUUCACCACUGUGAAAAAGGGGCCAUUUGAAACGGUGGCGAUAUGGAUUUGUUCUUCCAAGUUUUAACCCUCUUUUUCGUGGUAUUGACAGCAGUAAGCCAAUGAAUUAUAGAAAUGUGUUUAAUUACAUGUUCAGUUUGUGAUGACCUCUUCCCUUCUUUUUUCCAGGAAAUCCAAACAUGACCAUUGAAAGAAACACAGUCAAAUCUUGAAGACGAUAUGUAUGACCAGCUUGAAGUAGAAAGAUCUGCUUGUUGCCAGCGUUAGACAGGAAGUAGCGGGUGAAAGCUUGCAGAUGCAUGUGAGGCAACCCAAUCCUCACGUCCAUCCUUCCCGCUUCACUCGGGCUCUGCAUGAAGUACGCAACCUGAGGAAAUGGAGUGGCCAAGGGAGUCACAAAGACUGCUUUCCCAAGCCCGAAAUCGAUGCUGUGGUACGGGGUCUUUGUCCAGUCCGACACCAUCGUCAGCUCCGGCAGUGGGGGG